rnacentral:rRNA from 1 species
UUUGCCUGGUGAAAGAUGUGUGUGCCAAAGAAGAAAGGCGGUAUGGGCUUCAGGGAUAUUCAUUGUUUUAAUCUUGCACUUUUGGCAAAACAAACGUGGUGCUUCAUUGACAAUCCAGACUCACUAUGUGCAAUUAUUUUAAGAGCCAAGUACUUCUCAGAUGGAGAUCUUAUGAGUGCUACUUUGAAUCAAAAAUCUUCAUAUACUUGGUAGAGUAUAAUGGCUGGUGUGGACACACUGAGACGUGGGUGGAAUUGGAGAUGGUGA